AGUGAACGCUGGCGGUAGGCCUAACACAUGCAAGUCGAACGGCAGCACAGUAAGAGCUUGCUCUUACGGGUGGCGAGUGGCGGACGGGUGAGGAAUACAUCGGAAUCUACUUUUUCGUGGGGGAUAACGUAGGGAAACUUACGCUAAUACCGCAUACGACCUACGGGUGAAAGCAGGGGAUCUUCGGACCUUGCGCGAUUGAAUGAGCCGAUGUCGGAUUAGCUAGUUGGCGGGGUAAAGGCCCACCAAGGCGACGAUCCGUAGCUGGUCUGAGAGGAUGAUCGGCCAAACGGAAACUGGGACACGGUCCAGACUCCAACGGGAGGCAGCAGUGGGAAAUAUUGAGCAAUGGGCGCAAUCCUGAUCCAGCCAUACCGCGUGGGUGAAGAAGGCCUUCGGGUUGUAAGCCCUUUUGUUGGGAAAGAAAAGCAGCAGGUUAAUACCCCGCUGUUCUGACGGUACCCAAAGAAUAAGCACCGGCUAACUUCGUG
rnacentral:rRNA from 1 species